GAUGAACGCUGGCGGCGUGCCUAAUACAUGCAAGUCGAGCGAACAGACGAGGAGCUUGCUCCUCUGACGUUAGCGGCGGACGGGUGAGUAACACGUGGAUAACCUACCUAUAAGACUGGGAUAACUUCGGGAAACCGGAGCUAAUACCGGAUAACAUGUUGAACCGCAUGGUUUAACAGUGAAAGACGGUCUUGCUGUCACUUAUAGAUGGAUCCGCGCCGCAUUAGCUAGUUGGUAAGGUAACGGCUUACCAAGGCAACGAUGGGUAGCCGACCUGAGAGGGUGAUCGGCCACACUGGAACUGAGACACGGUCCAGACUCCUACGGGAGGCAGCAGUAGGGAAUCUUUCGCAAUGGGCGAAAGCCUGACGGAGCAACGCCGCGUGAGUGAAGAAGGUCUUCGGAUCGUAAAACUCUGUUAUUAGGGAAGAACAAAUGUGUAAGUAACUAUGCACGUCUUGACGGUACCUAAUCAGAAAGCCACGGCUAACUACGUG
rnacentral:rRNA from 1 species